UGAUAUACAUUAAAGAGCCGCAAUAUUUUAAUUGUGCUAAGGUAGCAAAAUAAGUUGUUUAUUAAUUAUUAACUAGUAUGAAGGAUUUAACAAAUUUAUACCUUUUUUAAACUUAUUUAUAUAAUUUUUUAUAAAAGUGCAAAAACUUUUAUGUUUUAGAAAGAAGAUAAGACCCUAAGAAUUUUUUUAUUUUUAAUGAUUUAAUUUAUUAUUUUUUAUUUAUUAUUGAAUAAUUAGUUGGGGUGACUUUUAAAAUGUUUUGAACUUUAAUUUUUUUGAACUAUAUUAGAUUUGUUUGAUUAUUUGGUUAUAUUUUUGAUAAAUUACCUUAGGGAUAACAGCGUUAUAAUUAUUAUGAGUUCUUAUUUAAAUAAUUGUUUGCGACCUCGAUGUUGGAUUAAGUUUAUUUUUG
rnacentral:rRNA from 1 species